UACGUAGGGUGCAAGCGUUGUCCGGAAUUAUUGGGCGUAAAGAGCUUGUAGGCGGUUUGUCGCGUCUGCUGUGAAAUUUCGGGGCUCAACCCCGAACUUGCAGUGGGUACGGGCAGACUAGAGUGUGGUAGGGGAGACUGGAAUUCCUGGUGUAGCGGUGAAAUGCGCAGAUAUCAGGAGGAACACCGAUGGCGAAGGCAGCUUGCUGGGACGGUACUGACGCUGAGGCGCGAAAGCGUGGGGAGCAAACAGG
rnacentral:rRNA from 1 species